UGAGUGACUAGUUAAAAAGGAAGCAAAAACAAAGAAGACAAACACAUAAGCUCAGUUGUCGAACAGUGAGGUUGAAUAAGAGGCUGGUUUAGAGCACCCCCCUGUGGCUGCCUGAAGUUAUAACAGGAGGAGCAGGAUCGGCUUUCACUACAAUAUGAAAAAGGAAAAAUAAAACGAAUUCAAACUGAUUCUCUAAUGAUUCAUUCUUUUUUCUCUCUAAAGAACAAUUAAUGUAUGCAUUGUUAAAAAAAAAAAAAAGACACCAUAUCGACAAUAAUAGCAAUCAUCAAUAUUACAAGUAACAACUUUUUAACCAAUAGAUGCUGGUUUGCAGUUGAAUACGAUUCUGCUUUGCUGAUCACAUCACCCACAGACACUCACACAGAAAAGAAGUCCGACCCCACACUCACCUCCACUAUGAAGGGCCAAGUAAGGAUUCGAGCAGGACAUGUAAGAACUGGAUGGAUCGAGGGGGGCAGAAAGGGGAGGGAAAACGAGGUAAGAUUAAAAACAUAUGUGAGUUGGGGGAUUGGCGAGGACAGGUUUUUCAAUAAGGUGAACUGAGGCAGUUUUAGUAGCACCCUGCUGUGGAAGUUUCCGCUCCCCUUAAGCAGACUGACCCCAGACACCACCCUGUUUUUCUCUCUGGACAGUGGAGUAAGUGUGAGCGCAGGGCGAGACUUCUUCUCUUUACAUGCAUGUUGAAUGUGUGGCCCUAAAGCAGGCAGGGCUGGACCUCGUUUACUCUCCAAAUGUGAAUGUGUGAGUUUGUGUAUGUAUGCAUGUGUGUGUGUGUUUGUGUGCAUGCAUGUGUGUGUGUGUGAUCAGCAGCACCUGUUACAUGCACAUAUAGGUACCCUACGCGUCAUUUAGACAGCACUAGCAGACUGAGACACAGUUACUCCCCAUCACUGAUACUCUAAACUCUACCAAGAAAAGGAGGAGGAGAACAAGUGGAGAGACAGAAAGAAAUAAAGAGGGCAAUAGAAAGAAGGGGUGAGUUUAAGCGCGCUCUCCGCGGAUGCGGCGUGCCAGCUGGAUGUCUUUGGGCAUGAUGGUGACACGCUUGGCAUGGAUGGCACACAGGUUAGUGUCUUCAAACAGACCGACCAGGUAUGCCUCGCUGGCCUCCUGCAAGAAUACACACAAAAAUCAGUCAGUUAACUGGGCAAAAUCUAUGAAAUCAAAAUCCAAAUCUUCAAACAGGAAUGUUUGCAAAAGUUCAACAUUUAAGUU
ensembl:lncRNA